UCCGGAGGGUGUAAGCGUUAAUCGGCAUUACUGGGCGUAAAGCGCACGCAGGCGGUCUGUCAAGUCGGAUGUGAAGUCCCCGGGCUCAGGCUGGGAACUGCAUCCGAAACUGGCAGUCUAGAGUCUUGUAGAGGGGGGUAGAAUUCCAGGUGUAGCGGUGAAAUGCGUAGAGAUCUGGAGGAAUACCGGUGGCGAAGGCGGCCCCCUGGACAAAGACUGACGCUCAGGUGCGAAAGCGUGGGGAGCCAACAGG
rnacentral:misc_RNA from 1 species